rnacentral:lncRNA from 1 species
GUCGCGCCAUUUUUCGGACGUCAAAGGCCAUUUGAUUAGCUUUUGACUCACUUUUUAUCUCACGACUGAACAAAUUUUUUUUAAGGGGAAAAAGUUCCAAACCACCCAUUUUGAAGAGAUUUAGGGUUCGGGGGUUGGUUAUAUUUAGGGAAGGUAUUAGCACCCUAAAUAUUCGUAGUACUCUACGAGAACCUCUUGAUUUUAUUUAACUUUU